rnacentral:rRNA from 1 species
UACGGGGGGGGCAAACGUUGUUCGGAAUCACUGGGCUUAAAGGGCGCGUAGGCGGGCGAUCAAGUCAGGGGUGAAAUCCUCCAGCUUAACUGGAGAACUGCCUCUGAUACUGGUCAUCUUGAGUGAGGUAGGGGCGUGCGGAACUGAUGGUGGAGCGGUGAAAUGUGUUGAUAUCAUCAGGAACUCCGGUGGCGAAAGCGGCGCGCUGGACCGGUAUUGACGCUGAGGCGCGAAAGCCAGGGGAGCAAACGGG